GACGUAGGGCGCGAGCGUUGUCCGGAUUUAUUGGGCGUAAAGAGCUCGUAGGCGGUCUGUCGCGUCUGCUGUGAAAUCCCGAGGCUCAACCUCGGGCUUGCAGUGGGUACGGGCAGGCUAGAGUGCGGUAGGGGAGAAUGGAACUCCUGGUGUAGCGGUGGAAUGCGCAGAUAUCAGGAAGAACACCGAUGGCGAAGGCAGUUCUCUGGGCCGUAACUGACGCUGAGGAGCGAAAGCGUGGGGAGCGAACAGG
rnacentral:rRNA from 1 species